rnacentral:rRNA from 1 species
UACGUAGGGUGCGAGCGUUGUCCGGAAUUAUUGGGCGUAAAGAGCUCGUAGGCGGUUUGUCGCGUCUGCUGUGAAAACGCGAGGCUCAACCUCGCGCCUGCAGUGGGUACGGGCAGACUAGAGUGCGGUAGGGGAGAUUGGAAUUCCUGGUGUAGCGGUGGAAUGCGCAGAUAUCAGGAGGAACACCGAUGGCGAAGGCAGAUCUCUGGGCCGUAACUGACGCUGGAGGAGCGGAAAGCGUGGGGAGCGAACAGG